rnacentral:rRNA from 1 species
UACGUAGGGUGCAAGCGUUGUUCGAAAUCACUGGGCGUAAAGCGCGUGUAGGCGGUUUGCUAAGUCUGAUGUGAAAGCCCGGAGCUUAACUCCGGAAGUGCAUCGGAUACUGGUAGACUAGAGGACGGAAGAGGGAAGUGGAAUUCCUGGUGUAGGGGUGAAAUCCGUAGAUAUCAGGAGGAACAUCUGUGGCGAAGGCGGCUUCCUGGUCCGUUUCUGACGCUCAGACGCGAAAGCAUGGGGAGCAAACAGG